UACCGUAUAGUUUAACUAUAAAACAUUAAUCUUGUAAAUUAGAAUUAAAUCCCCCGAUUUUACGGUAA
rnacentral:tRNA from 1 species